rnacentral:pre_miRNA from 1 species
AUCACCUGUGAAUCUUGUUAAAAUGGAGAUUCUAAUUCAGCAUCUAGGGUAGCCUGAGACUCUGCAUUUCUAACAAGUUCCCAGGUAGUACCAA